GAAAUUGCCCGACAUAAUGCAACUAGCACAAUCUAAUAAUAGAAUAUACUAAGGCGCUAGGGUGAGCCGUGGCUAAGGAACUAGGCAAAUUAACUCCGUAACUUCGGGAAAAGGAGUGCCCCACUUCGGUGGGGCCGCAGAGAAAUGGGAGCGGCGACUGUUUAUCAAAAACACAUGGCUUUGCAAAAUCGAAAGAUGAAGUAUAAGGCCUGACACCUGCCCGGUGCUGGAAGGUUAAGAGGAGAGGUUAGUCGCAAGACAAAGCUUUGAAUCGAAGCCCCAGUAAACGGCGGCCGUAACAAUAACGGUCCUAAGGUAGCGAAAUUCCUUGUCGGGUAAGUUCCGACCUGCACGAAUGGUGUAACGAUCGCUCCACUGUCUCAGCCACGAGCCCUGUGAAAUUGGAGUCUCGGUGAAGAUACCGAGUACCCGCAACGGGACGGAAAGACCCCGUGCACCUUCACUAUAGCUUUGCAUUGAAUUUGGGUAAAUAAUGUGUAGGAUAGGUGGGAGACUUUGAAGUGGCCUCGCUAGGGGUCAUGGAGUCAACCUUGAAAUACCACCCUUUCUUUACUUGAGUUCUAACUCCUUCACGGGAGGACAUUGCAUGGCGGGUAGUUUGACUGGGGUGGUCGCCUCCAAAAGAGUAUCGGAGGCUUUCAAAGGUACCCUCAGCACGCUUGGUAACCGUGCGUAGAGUGCAUUAGCAUAAGGGUGCUUGACUGUGAGACCGACAAGUCGAGCAGGUACGAAAGUAGGAUAAAGUGAUCCGGUGGUUCCGCAUGGAAGGGCCAUCGCUCAUAGGAUAAAAGGUACGCCGGGAUAACAGGCUGAUCACUCCCAAGAGCUCACAUCGACGGAGUGGUUUGGCACCUCGAUGUCGGCUCGUCUCAUCCUGGGGCUGGAGAAGGUCCCAAGGGUUCGGCUGUUCGCCGAUUAAAGUGGCACGCGAGCUGGGUUCAGAACGUCGUGAGACAGUUCGGUCCCUAUCUGUUGUGGGCGUAGGAGAUUUGAGAGGACCUGACUCUAGUACGAGAGGACCGAGUCGGACAUACCGCUAGUGUGCCUGUUGUGCCGCCUAGGUGCAGUGCAGGGUAGCUAAGUAUGGAUGAGAUAAGCGCUGAAAGCAUAUAAGUGCGAAGCUCGCCUCAAGAUGAGAUCUUCCUUAAGAGCCGUCAAAGACUAUGACGUUGAUAGGUCGCAGGUGUAAAGGCAGCAAUGUCAAAGCCGAGCGAUACUAAUUGCACA
rnacentral:rRNA from 1 species